ensembl:lncRNA
AACAUAUUAAACAGCCCCAGAAAUAUUCAUUGCACGGAAACCUUUCUGUCUGAGUGGAUUAAAUUUACAAGCUGAAUUAAUGGUAUAAAUUGCAUUUACAUAAUUCAUUUCCCACUAAGCAGAAUUUAUUUAGUUGGCAUCUCUGCUAAUAUAUAUAUUUAUGGAGAAGACAGUACCUUUCUGUUGGCCAUGUAGUUAAUUUAGCCUAAGUAGAACUUAGAAGGCAUCUCUGUGUGUCGUUACCAGAUGUCCCCCCUCCACCAGACACCAUCUAAAUGUGACAAUUAAAUAGCCUACGUGUGCAGUCUCAUGCAAGGAGGCAGAUCUGCUGAACAAGCCCGAGCCCCUUAUUUGGCUUUCCAGAACAUUCCGUGAUGUCUUUACAAAUCAUCUACUACUUGUACUUUGCUAAUUUUGUGUAAAACAGCAACACCAGUAAGAGAUGAAAAAACAGUCUGAAGAUCUCAUGGAAACUUUGAAACUGUCAACUCAAGCUGGAAUGGAUUUGAGAUGGAAAAAUAGAGAGCAGGAAGGAAGUUGGGGUGAGGGGACCAGAAAGGCUGUGAUCUGUCCUUCAGCAGGCACCUCAUUUUCACAGAGGGGGUGACAGCCAGUUUUGCAUUUGCUGGUACAAUUUUGAGUUUCAGAAUGCUUGAACAAUGUUGUAAGUCAUGUCAAUUAUUAAGGGCCCCUUUAUUAUCCAGUGUUGUGUGUCUUAUGUUGUUACCAGCAGAGGGGAGAUUGCUUCACCUUGCAAGGCUUGGCUUUGGGCAGCAGGCGCUGAAGCAGGCAUUGUUCACCUCAGUCUCCCACUCCUCUCCCCGAGUGCUCCCCUCAAUCGCUCCCGCUUUCUCCGAGUAUCCUAUUAAGUCUCUUUGUGAAGAAAGACAGCUGCUUGUUUUCUCUCAAGAUAAUGGUUGGAAAAUGUGCUUUAAAACACUCCCAGGGAGCCUUCUUUCUGUAGGGCCGUCUCUGUUCUCAUUGCUAUCAUCCGUCUGGAAGAAGACAUUCACUAAUUCCAUGCUAACAAAAAUUCACAGGUUCACAGGACAUAACAUGGUAUUGGAGUCACCACGGAAACCAAGGGUCAUCACUCUGUUCUCAGCUCACAAGGCUUCUUCUUUUUCUGUCUCUCCAUACUAGUUUUUAAACCAAGGUUUAACUAGAAUUUGAUCUCCUUGAAGAGAAGCCCUGUGGGAAAUUACCCAGCUCUACUCUAGGAACCAAAGGGCAAGAGGCCCAAGCUAACUUAUUUCAGCUUCUGUUAAACUGCUUGCUUGUGCAAACUUCCACAUCCAGCUACAGAGUGUGAUGCCAGGAUGUGGUUUCUGUCUUUAAAAUCUCCCUUGUCUAAAUGCUCAGCGCUACACUUGGGUUUCCAAAUACCUGAGUGUAGCCCCAGCUGGCUGGAAUAAAUACUUUCAACCGGCUAUAAAUUGUGUCUGAGUGAUCAUCUCUGGUGGGCUCUGCAUAACAAAAGUGACAGAGGGUUGUCCAAAGUAGCGGUUGAGUCCUUUUCUCUUUUAGGAAAAAACAAAACAUGGCUAUUGAAGAAAUAAUGGAUUUCGUCUCUGGUGAUUAGACCAAGAGACUAUGAAAUUUAUAUGAGAGUCAAGCAAGGUGUUAUCUGUCCUGUUUUACUAUUGUGGAUGUUGUUUCACUUUUUAUUUAUUUUUUAUGUGUAUAG